rnacentral:rRNA from 1 species
AAACUAACAAGGAUUCCCCUAGUAACGGCGAGUGAAGCGGGAUGAGCUCAAAUUUGAAAUCUGGUAGUUCUGCUGCCCGAGUUGUAAUCUAUAGAAGUGUUUUCCGUGCUGGCUCAUGUACAAGUCCCUUGGAACAGGGCAUCAUAGAGGGUGACAAUCCCGUACUUGACAUGAACUCCCAGUGCUCUGUGAUACACUUUCAAAGAGUCGAGUUGUUUGGGAAUGCAGCUCAAAAUGGGUGGUAAAUUCCAUCUAAAGCUAAAUAUUGGUGGGAGACCGAUAGCGAACAAGUACCGUGAGGGAAAGAUGAAAAGCACUUUGGAAAGAGAGUUAAACAGUAUGUGAAAUUGUUGAAAGGGAAACGCUUGAAGUCAGUCAUGCUUUUGGGAACUUGUUCCCUUUAGUGGGGUCAACAUCAGNUUUGAUCGCUGGAAAAGGGCUGGAGGAACGUAGCACCCCCGGGUGAACUUAUAGCCUCCUGUCGCACACAGCGGUUGGGACUGAGGACUGCGGCUUUGCCUAGGAUGUUGACAAAAUGGCUUUAAACGAC